rnacentral:rRNA from 1 species
GACGAACGCUGGCGGCGUGCUUAACACAUGCAAGUCGAACGGACAGACCCUGCUUUUGUUGGUUUCUCGUUUGGCGAACGGGUGAGUAACACGUGUGUAACCUGCCCUUGUCUUUGUGAUAACUUCAGGAAACUGCGGCUAUUACCGGAUAUGACCUCCUGCUGCAUGUUGUUGGUUGGAAAGUUUCGGCGGUUGUGGCUGGACUCGCUGCUUCUCCGCUUGUUUGUGGGGUAGUGGCUUACCAAGGCUUUGACGGGUAGCCUGCCUGAGAGGGUGACCGGGCACAUUGGGACUGAGAGACGGCGCAGAAGCGUAUGGGAGGCAGUAGGGGGAAAUAUGACACAAUGGGGGGGAGUCUGAUGAAGAAACGUUGGGAGCGGGAUGAUGGGCUUCGGGGGGUAAACAGAUGUGGAAGGUGAUGAAGAGUGAGUGACGGUAAUGGGUAAAGAAGCAACGGCUAACUACGUG